rnacentral:tRNA from 1 species
GGGGCCGUGGUCUAUUUGGCAUGACAUGCCCUUGGGGUGGGCAUAAGCGGGGUUCAAAUCCUCGCGGCCCCA